rnacentral:rRNA from 1 species
UCCGUAGGCGGGCAGCUAAGUCAGUGGUGAAAGUCUGCAGCUCAACUGUAGAAUUGCCAUUGAUACUGGUUGUCUUGAAUUAUUAUGAAGUGGUUAGAAUAUGUAGUGUAGCGGUGAAAUGCAUAGAUAUUACAUAGAAUACCAAUUGCGAAGGCAGAUCACUAAUAAUAUAUUGACGCUGAUGGACGAAAGCGUGGGGAGCGAACAAGAUUAGAUACCCUGGUAGUCC